GGUAUGGGAUGAGCUUGCGUCCGAUUAGCUAGUUGGCGGGGCAACGGCCCACCAAGGCGACGAUCGGUAGCCGGCCUGAGAGGGUGAUCGGCCACAUUGGGACUGAGAUACGGCCCAGACUCCUACGGGAGGCAGCAGUAGGGAAUAUUGCACAAUGGGGGAAACCCUGAUGCAGCAACGCCACGUGUGGGAAGAAGCAUUUCGGUGUGUAAACCACUGUCAUGAGGGAAUAAGGCCCGCCUUCGGACGGGAUUGAAUGUACCUUGAGAGGAAGCACCGGCAAACUUCGUGCCAGCAGCCGCGGUAAUACGAGGGGUGCAAGCGUUGUUCGGAAUUACUGGGCGUAAAGGGAGCGUAGGCGGAGAUCCAAGCGGAUUGUACAAUCCCGGGGCCCAACCCCGGCUCUGCAGUCCGAACUGGAUCUCUUGGAUAGUUCAGGGGCAGGC
rnacentral:rRNA from 1 species